rnacentral:rRNA from 1 species
CACUCUUCUGCUGUCAGGCCAGAAUCGGUUCGGGCGGUCGGAUAAAGGCUUCGAGAAUGUAGCUCCUCUCGAGGAGUGUUAUAGCCCGUUGCGAAAUGCGGCCAGCCUGAACUGAGGUCCGCGCUUCGGCUAGGAUGCUGGCGUAAUGGUUGUAAGCGGCCCGUCUUGAAACACGGACCAAGGAGUCUAACAUCUGUGCGAGUGUUUGGGUGUCAAACCCGUACGCGUAAUGAAAGUGAACGGAGGCGGGAACCCCUCGGGGUGCACCGUCGACCGAUCCUGAUGUCUUCGGAUGGAUUUGAGUAAGAGCAUAGCUGUUGGGACCCGAAAGAUGGUGAACUAUGCCUGAAUAGGGUGAAGCCAGAGGAAACUCUGGUGGAGGCUCGCAGCGGUUCUGACGUGCAAAUCGAUCGUCAAAUUUGGGCAUAGGGGCGAAAGACUAAUCGAACUAUCUAGUAGCUGGUUCCUGCCGAAGUUUCCCUCAGGAUAGCGGUAACGUUCUCAGUUUUAUGAGGUAAAGCGAAUGAUUAGAGGCCUGGGGGUUGAAACAACCUUCACCUAUUCUCAAACUUUAAAUAUGUAAGAAGUCCUUGUUACUUAGUUGAACGUGGACAUUUGAAUGUAUCGUUACUAGUGGGCCAUUUUUGGUAAGCAGAACUGGCGAUGCGGGAUGAACCGAACGCGGAGUUAAGGUGCCGGAAUGCACGCUCAUCAGACACCACAAAAGGUGUUAGUUCAUCUAG